AACUAGCGACCAAUAAGAUACUGUUGCUGAAAGAUCAGCCCCCAUCCCUGACGAGCCGAAUAACCCAGAGACAAGGUCUUGGAGCUUAGAAGAAAAGAGGCAGCUUUAUUAC